GUUGGUGAAUUAAUCACCUAAAAAUGUGAAUGUGGUCCAAUGAUUCAGGGGUUGGUGUAUAAGUAGAUGAGGUGAACCUCAGGCUCAUCAGAACUCCAGGACACUCACCUGCUCAUCAUGAUGAAGCUCAUCAUUUCCCUGACUCUUCUAUGGACAAUUAGCAGCUCAGUUGGAGCUCUUCAGUGUCAAAGCUGCUCAGACAGACAGUGUAUGAAUAUGACAACAGUCACAUGUUCAUCAGAAACCAUGUGUGUUAGCGCCACCACUAAAGCCAGAACAGUCGGCAAUACAAGAAAUGAAUUCCUCAAGGCCUGCGCACCUUCCUCUCUGUGUCCAUCCACAGGAAACAGAACAUUUCAGUCCAACUCAGGUCUCUCCAGUACUGUCACAUUAGCUGAGUGCUGCAACACAGACAACUGCAACACAAGGACUUUACCUGCGCCUUCUCGUAAUGAGACUAAAAGUGGUCUUUCCUGUCAUUUCUGUGCAAACCCCUCCGUAUGUGACGUAGAACUUCAAUGUGAAGGAUCUGAAGACAGAUGCUUUCGGGCAAAUGGUAAGACUUUAAUGAAUUUGAUUAUUAAUGCAUUACAUUAGAACAAAAAUAUUAUUUCCUUUUCCUAAAUGUUGAUUAUGAAGAUACGAAGGCAAACUUUUAUAAAAUACUGAUUGACUUUGAUAAAUAAUUGCAGAAAUGUUAAAUCUGUAAAAGUGUUGUAGUAAAGGUUGGACUGUUAUCUUGUUGAGUACUUUGGUUUUUAUCAAGUGUUGAGUGUUAGAUCUUUGUCUAGUUAAAGUCUCUGACAGGACUUUACAAUUAUUGCUGUGAAUGAAGUGAGAAUUAAAGCUGACGUUUCUCCACAGGAGUCAACGGUGGCAGAACUCCUACUGUUGGUGGAUGUGUAUCUACAAAUUUGGUGGAAACCAAUUCAAGUCUGCAGAGGUUCUCUCAGCUGCUUAAUGUUGGUAACUUCAGUUCCAUCAGUUCCUGCAGUGGCAAUCUUUGCCUUAAUCUCAACACACCUCCUGUGACCACUGCCAGCUCAAACACAAUAAGUCAGGCAUCAAGUGGGUCGACUUCUAAGACUACAGCUUCUGGAACCUCAGGUGGUUCUGGUUCAGGUUCUGGAAGUUCCGGUGCAUCAACCACAGCUUCUGGUGGUUCUGGUUCAGGUUCUGGAGGUUCUGGUUCAGGUUCUGGAGGUUCCGGUGCAUCAACCACAGCUUCUGGUGGAUCUGGUUCCGGUUCAGGUUCUGGUGCAACAACGACUGUAUCCAGUGGGUCGUCAUCACAAUCCAUUGAUGCAGGUUUUAUCAGACUGGGGAUGAUCAAUCUACUGUUUGGACUCUUUACUGUGAUUCUUUGUUAGAACACUACUUUCUGCCUUUUGUACAUUAUAAAAUACUAUUUAUUUGUAAACCUUGUAAAAGCUAGUUGUCAACAAUCAUAAAUGGUUGACAUGUUGGAGGUUAAGUACUGGUAUAAUCCCAUGGUCAAUGAAAAGGACAAUACAGAAUCUCAGCUCUACCAACUCAUGAAGACACUGUUACAAACUGUGUCUAAUUACCAAUGUAGCAAAGCAUUGUGGGAUUUAUU
ensembl:lncRNA cell wall protein IFF6-like